rnacentral:rRNA from 1 species
AGAACGAACGCUGGCGGCAUGCCUAACACAUGCAAGUCGAACGAGACCUUCGGGUCUAGUGGCGCACGGGUGCGUAACGCGUGGGAACCUGCCUUUAGGUUCGGAAUAACUCCUCGAAAGGGGUGCUAAUACCGAAUAAUGUCUUCGGACCAAAGAUUUAUCGCCUUUAGAUGGGCCCGCGUUGGAUUAGCUAGUUGGUGGGGUAAAGGCCUACCAAGGCGACGAUCCAUAGCUGGUCUUAGAGGAUGAUCAGCCACACUGGGGAUUGAGACACGGCCCAGACUCCUACGGGAGGCAGCAGUGGGGAAUAUUGGACAAUGGGCGAAAGCCUGAUCCAGCAAUGCCGCGUGAGUGAUGAAGGCCUUAGGGUUGUAAACUCCUGUCGACCGGGACGAAAGUAGGAUGGCCUAAUACGCCGAUCUAUUGACUGUACCGGUGGAGGAAGCCACGGCUAACUCUGUGCCAGCAGCCGC